rnacentral:rRNA from 1 species
ACGCUCGACACCUACGGGAGGUAGCAGUCGGGAAUAUUGCGCAAUGGAGGAAACUCUGACGCAGUGACGCCGCGUGCAGGAAGAAGGUUUUCGGAUUGUAAACUGCUUUAGACAGGGAAGAAAGAAAUGACAGUACCUGUAGAAUAAGCUCCGGCUAACUACGUGCAAGCAGCCGCGGUAAUCUGAGCGGGCUGGCAAGGC